UGGGGAAUAUUGCACAAUGGGCGCAAGCCUGAUGCAGCCAUGCCGCGUGUGUGAAGAAGGCCUUCGGGUUGUAAAGCACUUUCAGCGAGGAGGAAGGGUAGUGUGUUAAUAGCACAUUGCAUUGACGUUACUCGCAGAAGAAGCACCGGCUAACUACGUGCCAGCAGCCGCGGUAAUACGGAGGGUGCAAGCGUUAAUCGGAAUUACUGGGCGUAAAGCGCACGCAGGCGGUUUGUUAAGUCAGAUGUGAAAUCCCCGCGCUUAACGUGGGAACUGCAUUUGAAACUGGCAAGCUAGAGUCUUGUAGAGGGGGGUAGAAUUCCAGGUGUAGCGGUGAAAUGCGUAGAGAUCUGGAGGAAUACCGGUGGCGAAGGCGGCCCCCUGGACAAAGACUGACGCUCAGGUGCGAAAGCGUGGGGAGCAAACA
rnacentral:rRNA from 1 species